rnacentral:rRNA from 1 species
AUACGUAUGUCGCAAGCGUUAUCCGGAUUUAUUGGGCGUAAAGCGCGUCUAGGCGGCUUAGUAAGUCUGAUGUGAAAAUGCGGGGCUCAACCCCGUAUUGCGUUGGAAACUGCUAAACUAGAGUACUGGAGAGGUAGGCGGAACUACAAGUGUAGAGGUGAAAUUCGUAGAUAUUUGUAGGAAUGCCGAUGGGGAAGCCGGCCUACUGGACAGAUACUGACGCUAAAGCGCGAAAGCGUGGGUAGCAAACAGGAUUAGAUACCCUGGUAGUCCACGCCGUAAACGAUGAUUACUAGGUGUUGGGGGUCGAACCUCAGCGCCCAAGCUAACGCGAUAAGUAAUCCGCCUGGGGAGUACGUACGCAAGUAUGAAACUCAAAUGAAUUGACGGGG